rnacentral:rRNA from 1 species
AUGUGACAGGAAGGGUGGUGAUAUGAACUGCUUCAGGAGUAUCUCUCGGAGGGGCAAGUCUGGUGCCAGCAGCCGCGGUAAUUCCAGCUCUAAUAGCGUAUAUUAAAAUUGUUGCAGUUAAAAAGCUCGUAGUUGAAUUUCUGCUGUAUUGCAUUUUCUCUUUUUAUAUGAGUUUUUGCAUUAUGGCUUAUUUCAGUAUUAAUUUUUUAUUAUUACUGAAUGUUUACUUUGAGAAAAUUAGAGUGCUCAAAGCAGGCUUUUGCCUUGAAUAGUUUAGCAUGAAAUAAUAAAGUAGGACUUUGGUUCUAUUUUGUUGGUUUUAGGUACCAAAGUAAUGGUUAAUAGGAACAGUUGGGGGCAUUCGUAUUUAACUGUCAGAAGGUGAAAUUCUUAGAA